AUCGAUUUCUUCGGAUUGAAAUUUUAGUGACUGAGUGGCGGACGGGUGAGUAACGCGUGGGUAACCUGCCUCAUACAGGGGGAUAACAGUUGGAAACGACUGCUAAUACCGCAUAAGCGCACAGGAUCGCAUGAUCCGGUGUGAAAAACUCCGGUGGUGUGAGAUGGAUCCGCGUCUGAUUAGGUAGUUGGUGAGGUAACGGCCCACCAAGCCGACGAUCAGUAGCCGACCUGAGAGGGUGACCGGCCACAUUGGAACUGAGAAACGGUCCAAACUCC
rnacentral:rRNA from 1 species